rnacentral:rRNA from 1 species
CUUUAGUUGCCAUCAUUGAGUUGGGCACUCUAAAGAGACUGCCGGUGGUCAAACCGGGAGGAAGGUGGGGAUGACGUCAAGUCCUCAUGGCCUUUAUGACCAGGGCUACACACGUACUACAAUGGCCGGUACAAAGGGCAGCGACACAGCGAUGUGAAGCCAAUCCCGAAAAGCCGGUCUCAGUCCGGAUUGGAGUCUGCAACUCGACUCCAUGAAGUUGGAAUCGCUAGUAAUCGCGGAUCAGCACGCCCGCGGUCCGAAUACGUUCCGGGCCUU